rnacentral:rRNA from 1 species
AUUGAACGCUGGCGGCAGGCCUAACACAUGCAAGUCGAACGGUAACAGGAAGCAGCUUGCUGCUUCGCUGACGGGUGGCGGACGGGUGAGUAAUGUCUGGGAAGCUGCCUGAUGGAGGGGGAUAACUACUGGAAACGGUAGCUAAUACCGCAUAAUGUCGCAAGACCAAAGAGGGGGACCUUCGGGCCUCUUGCCAUCGGAUGUGCCCAGAUGGGAUUAGCUUGUUGGUGGGGUAACGGCUCACCAAGGCGACGAUCCCUAGCUGGUCUGAGAGGAUGACCAGCCACACUGGAACUGAGACACGGUCCAGACUCCUACGGGAGGCAGCAGUGGGGAAUAUUGCACAAUGGGCGCAAGCCUGAUGCAGCCAUGCCGCGUGUAUGAAGAAGGCCUUCGGGUUGUAAAGUACUUUCAGCGGGGAGGAAGGGAGUAAAGUUAAUACCUUUGCUCAUUGACGUUACCCGCAGAAGAAGCACCGGCUAACUCCGUG